GAUGAACGCUGGCGGCGUGCCUAAUACAUGCAAGUCGAGCGCGAGAGUGAGGAGCUUGCUCCUCAUAAUCGAGCGGCGGACGGGUGAGUAACACGUAGGCAACCUACCCUUGAGAUUGGGAUAACUACCGGAAACGGUAGCUAAUACCGGAUACGACUUUUCCACACAAGUGGGAUGGUUAAAAGGCGGAUUUAUCUGCCGCUCAUGGAUGGGCUUGCGGUGCAUUAGCUAGUUGGUGAGGUAGUAGCUCACCAAGGCGACGAUGAAUAGCCGGCCUGAGAGGGUGAUCGGCCACACUGGGACUGAGACACGGCCCAGACUCCUACGGGAGGCAGCAGUAGGGAAUCUUCCGCAAUGGACGCAAGUCUGACGGAGCAACGCCGCGUGAGUGAUGAAGGGUUUCGGCUCGUAAAACUCUGUUGUUAAGGAAGAACACUUGAGGUAGUAACUGGCCUUGAGAUGACGGUACUUAACCAGAAAGCCACGGCUAACUACGUGCCAGCCGCCGCAGUAA
rnacentral:rRNA from 1 species